rnacentral:rRNA from 1 species
UACGUAGGGGGCAAGCGUUGUCCGGAUUUAUUGGGCGUAAAGAGCGUGUAGGCGGUCUGUCGCGUCGGCUGUGAAAACCCGAGGCUCAACCUCGGGCCUGCAGUCGAUACGGGCAGACUAGAGUGCGGUAGGGGAGACUGGAAUUCCUGGUGUAGCGGUGAAAUGCGCAGAUAUCAGGAGGAACACCGGUGGCGAAGGCGGGUCUCUGGGCCGAUACUGACGCUGAGGAGCGAAAGCGUGGGGAGCGAACAGG